GGAGUUGUUUUCAGGCAAUGCUGACCAAUAGAUAAAAUGAGCCCCAAAUGUGAACUCUAUAUGUAAAUUUCAAUUUUCUAGAAGAUACAUUUAAGAAGGCUAAUGGUCCAUUAUGCCACCAGCCAUGUGGAAAUAACAUCCCAGGGCUGCCUCAUCUGACUUCGUUUUUCCCAAGACAAUACGAACACUAUCAGAAAAGAGGCUAGCUUGUGAGCUGAGUCGGCUGCAGCAGCUCUAAACCACACAUUGCUGAUGAGUGAGAACCUCUGUUAUAAAUGGAAAUGUG